UUUUUCCUAGGGGCGCAGCAGUAGGGAAUCUUCCACAAUGGACGAAAGUCUGAUGGAGCAACGCCGCGUGAGUGAAGAAGGGUUUCGGCUCGUAAAGCUCUGUUGGGAGUGAAGAAAGAUAGAGGUAGUAACUGGCCUUUAUUUGACGGUAAUUACAUAGAAAGCCACGGCUAACUACGUGCCAGCAGCCGCGGUAAUACGUAGGUGGCAAGCGUUGUCCGGAUUCAUUGGGCGUAAAGCGAGUGCAGGCGG
rnacentral:rRNA from 1 species